rnacentral:rRNA from 1 species
UGGGGAAUAUUGGACAAUGGGCGCAAGCCUGAUCCAGCCAUGCCGCGUGAGUGAUGAAGGCCCUAGGGUUGUAAAGCUCUUUUGUGCGGGAAGAUAAUGACGGUACCGCAAGAAUAAGCCCCGGCUAACUUCGUGCCAGCAGCCGCGGUAAUACGAAGGGGGCUAGCGUUGCUCGGAAUCACUGGGCGUAAAGGGUGCGUAGGCGGGUCUUUAAGUCAGGGGUGAAAUCCUGGAGCUCAACUCCAGAACUGCCUUUGAUACUGAGGAUCUUGAGUUCGGGAGAGGUGAGUGGAACUGCGAGUGUAGAGGUGAAAUUCGUAGAUAUUCGCAAGAACACCAGUGGCGAAGGCGGCUCACUGGCCCGAUACUGACGCUGAGGCACGAAAGCGUGGGGAGCAAACAGGAUUAGAUACCCUGGUAGUCCACGCCGUAAACGAAGAAUGCCAGCCGUUGGAGGGUUUACUCUCCAGUGGCGCAGCUAACGCUUUAAGCAUUCCGCCUGGGGAGUACGGUCGCAAGAUUA